ACAAUGGAGAGUUUGAUCCUGGCUCAGGAUGAACGCUAGCGGCAGGCUUAAUACAUGCAAGUCGAGGGGUAACAUGGGGUAGCAAUACUCUGAUGACGACCGGCAAACGGGUGCGGAACACGUACGCAACCUUCCCAAAACUGGUGAAUAGCCCUCCGAAAGGAGGAUUAAUACACCGUAACUUAACGAAGUGGCAUCAUUUUGUUAAUAUAGGCUUCGGUCGGUUUUGGAUGGGCGUGCGCCUGAUUAGGUAGUUGGCGGGGUAACGGCCCACCAAGCCUGCGAUCAGUAACUGGUGUGAGAGCACGACCAGUCACACGGGCACUGAGACACGGGCCCGACUCCUACGGGAGGCAGCAGUAAGGAAUAUUGGUCAAUGGACGAAAGUCUGAACCAGC
rnacentral:rRNA from 1 species